AACGAACGCUGGCGGCAUGCCUAACACAUGCAAGUCGAACGAGACCUUCGGGUCUAGUGGCGCACGGGUGCGUAACGCGUGGGAACCUGCCCUUAGGUUCGGAAUAACUCCCCGAAAGGGGUGCUAAUACCGGAUAAUGUCUUCGGACCAAACAUUUAUCGCCUUUGGAUGGGCCCGCGUUGGAUUAGCUAGUUGGUUGGGUAAAAGCCUACCAAGGCGACGAUCCAUAGCUGGUCUGAGAGGAUGGUCAGCCACACUGGGACUGAGACACGGCCCAGACUCCUACGGGAGGCAGCAGUGGGGAAUAUUGGACAAUGGGCGAAAGCCUGAUCCAGCAAUGUCGCGUGAGUGAUGAAGGCCUUAGGGUUGUAAAGCUCUUUUACCCGUGAUGAUAAUGACAGUACCGGGAGAAUAAGCUCCGGCUAACUCCGUG
rnacentral:rRNA from 1 species